UUGUAAUUCUUGAAACAACAUUGUUCCAGCAACGUUACUUUGCUCAACAAAAUUACUCAACUUCAAACACAAUUCAAAAACCUAAAAAUCCAUUGGUCUUCGCCGCAACCUCGCCAUAGCCGUAGGCCCGUAGCCCGUUCCUUGGAGUCCCAUCAUCGCAUCUUCGCCGGUGUUCUGUUGCCGCAACCUCGCCGGAGCCUAGCAUUGUCGUCUUCUUCAUCUUCACACUUCUACUCAGGUAUUCUCUUGACAUUAGAUACACUUCGUUCCUCAGAGUCCCAUCACCGCAUCUUCACACUUUAAUACAGUUAAUAAGAAAUACCAGUGCUAUCAAGUUAUGGUUUAAGCUAAAAAUCAAUUGAAAUCAUGAAUGUUACAAGAGUUUCAGUUUUCAUUGCUAGGGUUUCAAUGUGCAUAAACAUUUACUCUCAAUGAUCCUGAUUUUGUACAUGUUAUCUCUUCUUUAAAUUGAACUUUAUAUUGAUCCAUGGCAGGUUUUGUUCCUGUUUUGCUGAAGUGGUAAUAUUGUUUCUUUCUCAUCCUAUUCAUUUCUGAAAUUAGAUGAUUUUAAGUUAGAUUGAGUAUAAACUUAGGUGAUUUUUGUAAACAAGGUGUUUGUUGAAAUGCCACAAUGAGUUUACUUAUGUUGAUUUUGAAUAUAACUCGAUUAUAAUUUUCGUGCUAUGAAUUCUCAUAAGAUCAGACUCAGAGUUGGAAGUUGUACUGCUUAUACAUGUUUGGUGAAUUUCAAACCUUGUGAUCCUUUUGAAACUUGGAAUUAUGGGAUUGAGUUGCAAUGGGAAUCUCCUAAAUCAUAAUCUGUAGGUUCAAUAAAGAGUACAUUGAAUUCAACAACUUGAAAAUACAGAGAUGAGUGACUUGUAAUAUGCUAUAUUAAUGCAUUGAAAAAGACAGAAAAUUAUAUUGUAACUAAACUAUGCUAUUCUAUUUCAAUUAGAGGUCUGUAUAAGGCUCAUAGGAUAAACUAUACUUUGCUGAUUUGGCAUAAUUAGAACACCGAGGGAACUGCAUCAAUUUGAGAACUAUGCUAUUUUGUUUCAGUUAAUUCAAUUAAACAAUUUUAUUAAAAAAUAUUGUAACUAAACUAUGCUAUUCUGUUUCAGUUAAUUCAUCUCUGGUUGGACCUAAUCUUGCUGUUCAAAGGAUCCUCACUUCACCACUUCGUACAAAAAAUCGUGUAUCAGAGAAAAGGUGAAGCUCUCGUUGUUUUUUUGGAUGACCGAGUUUAAGAUUGGUGAUAUUCGUUGAGUGUUGAAUUGAAAGUCAGUUUUGGAUUUUUGUGUUUUUGGUGGUGUUGUUGUUAGCAGUCGGUGGGGUUUGCAGGUUGGAAUUUUUGUAAUUUAUUUUGAAGAUGGAAAGGUUAGAAUUAAAACUUGUUAGUUUUUGAUUGAUAAAUGUUUAAGCUAUUGAAAGACCAUGAUAAUCUAUGAAGCAUGUGUUGAAUUUUGAAUGCAGAAAAUGAUAGAAGGCGAGCUCAUGCUCAGGUAGGCGGAAUUGAAUGUAUAAAAGUUACAAGGUAAGCUCCUGCAUGACAGUAUGGUUAAUUGGAACAAUUUAUACAACAAAUAUGUCUUAGCCUUGCCAUGAGGUUCCAGCUGCGCGAUGAGUAAUUCAGUUACUACAAAAAUGGAAGAAAUUGAAGGAAGCUCUCAGACAGUUCUUUACCCUUACUUGGCAAAAGUGAUUGGAAGAUGAAAGCAACCAAUAGUAGUCAUGACACCUAAUGAUGAUAGGCCACGAAGGGUUCAUUCCCAUUGUUCCGCAAAGUGGAUAUCAAACAUACCUCCAUUUGUGUUAUGGACGAAGUCAACUCUGAAGAGGUUUCCUCCUAAUGGAAAAGCGGGAAAGUAAAGAAACAAACAAUGUAGUUGGUGGAAGACUGUCCGUGGCCCAAAGACACCACUGCUUCUAAUAAAUUUAAAUUCUCAAAUAACAACCCAGUCUUUAGAAUACCUUGGUCUUUGAAUUACUGUAAAAAAAUAGGAACCUUUCUUCCAAGAAAUGGAUCCAAAUCUGCAACGGGAAUGGUCCUUCAACGACUUUGAGAUCGGAAAGCCACUCAGAAAAGGGAAGUUCGGCUGAGUCUACGUCGCCAGAGAAAUUAAGAUGAAAACAACUGCCAUUUGGGUGGAUCUAAUAUGCUAGUGUAGGCUUCUCCAAGCAGCUAUAAGCAACUUUUCAUUAUUAGUAUUAAAAGGUUUUGCAUUCCCUUGAAUUCUUUCAAACUAUGCCUCCAAAAAAGUCCAAGAAGAAGAAUAUAUCUACUCAACAUGAAGUCACUCAACCUUUAACCGAUAUCUUCCUACUCGAACAAGAAGUCCUAUAGUUUACAACUCUUCUUUAUAUAGUAAUUCGACAAUUUUGAUUUGUACUUUUUUUUCUUUUUGACUUGGUUGUAAUUUGGAUUGUUUUUUCUUUUUAACUUGAUUGACAAAUUAUUAGUAAUAGGUUGGUUUUUUAAGCCAUUUUUAAAAAUGUCACUG